AUUGAACGCUGGCGGCAGGCCUAACACAUGCAAGUCGAGCGGAUGAAGGGAGCUUGCUCCUGGAUUCAGCGGCGGACGGGUGAGUAAUGCCUAGGAAUCUGCCUGGUAGUGGGGGAUAACGUCCGGAAACGGGCGCUAAUACCGCAUACGUCCUGAGGGCGAAAGGGGGGGAUCUUCGGACCUCACGCUAUCAGAUGAGCCUAGGUCGGAUUAGCUAGUUGGUGGGGUAAAGGCCUACCAAGGCGACGAUCCGUAACUGGUCUGAGAGGAUGAUCAGUCACACUGGAACUGAGACACGGUCCAGACUCCUACGGGAGGCAGCAGUGGGGAAUAUUGGACAAUGGGCGAAAGCCUGAUCCAGCCAUGCCGCGUGUGUGAAGAAGGUCUUCGGAUUGUAAAGCACUUUAAGUUGGAAGGAAGGGCAGUAAGUUAAUACCUUGCUGUUUUGACGUUACCAACAGAAUAAGCACCGGCUAACUUCGUG
rnacentral:rRNA from 1 species